rnacentral:tRNA from 1 species
GCCCCAGUGGCCUAAUGGACAAGGCACUGGCCUCCUAAGCCAGGGAUUGUGGGUUCGAAUCCCAUCUGGGGUG